UACGUAGGGUGCAAGCGUUAAUCGGAAUUACUGGGCGUAAAGCGCACGUAGGCGGCUUUCUAAGUCAGGGGUGAAAUCCUGGAGCUCAACUCCAGAACUGCCUUUGAUACUGGGGAGCUCGAGUCCGGAAGAGGUGAGUGGAACUCCGAGUGUAGAGGUGAAAUUCGUAGAUAUUCGGAAGAACACCAGUGGCGAAGGCGGCUCACUGGACCGGUACUGACGCUGAGGUGCGAAAGCGUGGGGAGCAAACAGG
rnacentral:rRNA from 1 species